rnacentral:rRNA from 1 species
GAUGAACGCUGGCGGCGUGCCUAAUACAUGCAAGUCGAGCGAAGCGGGGACGGGUGAGUAACACGUGGAUAACCUCCUAUAAGACUGGGAUAACUUCGGGAAACCGGAGCUAAAACGGCAUCUUAUAGAUGGUUCCGGGCUGCAUUAGCUAGUUGGGAAGGUAACGGCGUACCAAGGCACUGAUGCAUAGCCGACCUGAGAGGGUGAUCCGCCACACGGGAACUGAGACACGGUCCAGACGCCUACGGGAGGCAGCAGUAGGGAAUCUUGCGCAAUGGGCGAAAGCCUGACGGAGCAACGCCGCGUGAGUGAAGAAGGUCUUCGGAUCGUAAAACUCUGUUAUUAGGGAAGCGGUACCUAAACAGAAAGCCACGGCUAACUACGUGCCAGCAGCCGCGGUAAUUC